GGUGGCUGGAGUGUAUGGUGUCUGUCCAUGUAUAGUGCUGCUGUCCGUCUGUGUCUUACAGACAGACAGCAGUGCUCACUCCUCACCUGCAGCCACAGAGACACUGGAGAUCAUAGUACUGGUCUAGUGAUGUCGCUCAGACACCCCACCACUGACCAGCCUCCAUAAUCUCCUACAUCC
ensembl:snoRNA small nucleolar RNA SNORA23